rnacentral:rRNA from 2 species
UGGGGGAUAUUGCACAAUGGGCGAAAGCCUGAUGCAGCGACGCCGCGUGGGGGAUGAAGGCUUUCGGGUUGUAAACCUCUUUCGCUAUCGAACAAGGCCCGCUUAGGGUGGGUUGAGGGUAGGUGGAGAAGAAGCGCCGGCUAACUACGUGCCAGCAGCCGCGGUAAUACGUAGGGCGCGAGCGUUGUCCGGAAUUAUUUGGCGUAAAGGGCUUGUAGGCGGCUUGUUGCGCCUGCUGUGAAAACGCGGGGCUUAACUUCGCGCGUGCAGUGGGUACGGGCAGGCUUGAGUGUGGUAGGGGUGACUGGAAUUCCAGGUGUAGCGGUGGAAUGCGCAGAUAUCUGGAGGAACACCGAUGGCGAAGGCAGGUCACUGGGCCAUUACUGACGCUGAGGAGCGAAAGCAUGGGUAGCGAACAGG